rnacentral:rRNA from 1 species
UACAGAGGGUGCGAGCGUUGUCCGGAAUCACUGGGCGUAAAGGGCGCGUAGGUGGUGGCUUAAGCGUGCGGUGAAAGCUCGGGGCUCAACUCCGAGUCGGCCGUGCGAACUGGGCUCACUGGAGCAUAGUAGAGGCAGGUGGAAUUCCGGGUGGAGUGGUGAAAUGCGUAGAGACCCGGAGGAACACCAGUGGCGAAGGCGGCUUCCUGGUCUGCGACUGACGCUGUGGCGCGAAAGCUAGGGGAGCGAACGGG